CGGAGGGAUCAUUACCGAGUGCAAACUCCAUACCCACUGUAAACAUACCUGUCGCGUUGCUUUGGCAGGCGGUCCCAGGGCGGGACCAUCGCCCCAACGGUGCCUGCCACAGCGCAAACAAACUCUUGUCGUGGCGGUCUUCUGAGUGAAAACAAAAAUAAUCAAAACUUUCAACAACGGAUCUCUUGGCUCCAGCAUCGAUGAAGAACGCAGCGAAAUGCGAUAAGUAAUGCGAAUUGCAGAAUUCCGCGAGUCAUCGAAUCUUUGAACGCACAUUGCGCCCGGCAGUACUCUGCCGGGCACGCCUGUUCGAGCGUCAUUUCAACCCUCAAGCGUGUCUUGGUGUUGAGGCCCCUGUAGCGUCUACAGGGCCUCCAAACAAAGUGGCGCCCCGUCGCGACGUCUCUCACGCAGUACAAUUCUCGUGCCGGACGUCGGCCUAGCGGCAGCCGUUAAAAAGCUCCAUUAUCUUUUGGCUUGACCUCGGAUCAGGUGGGACUACCCGCUGAACUUAAGCAUAUCAAUAAGCGGAGGAAAAGAAACCAACAGGGAUUGCCUCAGUAACGGCGAGUGAAGCGGCAACAGCUCAAAUUUGAAAUCUGGCCCCGUGCCCGAGUUGUAAUUUGUAGAGGAUGCUUUUGGCGCGGCGCCUUCCGAGUUCCCUGGAACGGGACGCCAGAGAGGGUGAGAGCCCCGUAUGGUCGGACGCCUAGCCUCUGUAAAGCUCCUUCGACGAGUCGAGUAGUUUGGGAUGCUGCUCUAAAUGG
rnacentral:rRNA from 1 species